CUACGGAGGGUGCAAGCGUUACUCGGAAUCACUGGGCGUAAAGCGCGCGCAGGCGGCUUGAUAAGUUGGAUGUGAAAGCCUACGGCUCAACCGUAGAACUGCAUCCAAAACUGUCAGGCUAGAGUGUGGGAGAGGAAGAUGGAAUUAGUUGUGUAGGGGUAAAAUCCGUAGAGAUAACUAGGAAUACCUAAAGCGAAGGCAAUCUUCUGGAACACUACUGACGCUCAUGCACGAAAGCGUGGGGAGCAAACAGGAUUAGAAACCCUAGUAGUCC
rnacentral:rRNA from 1 species